rnacentral:lncRNA from 1 species
CCUCUACCUUUAUUCUUUUCCUCAUUUCUUUCUCCUGUGUGCAACAGAUGAAAGGAGAACUCCUGUUGAGAGGAAUAUGUUUACCUCCAUGUGACAAAGAGAUUGGAUGAAAAGCUGAAGCCCAAAAGCCUUCUCCCCUCUGUAACCAGGAGAGCUCCAGUUUAUGUACAGAGCAGAUAAAGGCACUGGACAAGGCACUGCCCUUUGUUGGCCUACUCUGAAUAUGUUUGCUGAUGUCAAGUGAUAGGACAGAUGAUGUGAAGAGGGUGACUAAGAAGUGAGUGGAAACCUUUUAGUGCACAUAUACAAAGGGGAUAAAACAAAGAGAUAGCAGUCCAGGAUGCAACAUCCUUUCUCCAUCAGAAACUUUUGUGCAAAAAAGGAAAUAUAGUCGUUGCCACCUGAGAAUAAAAAGUUUGCAGAAAAAUACAUUUCAUGGGACUCAAAGAAAUAAAACACAAUCAAGAACCUAAAUAAAGAUGUCUAGAUAACAGACUUUGAUUUUAAUUUGCCUUCUUUCAUAAAGACUUGGUAAAGCAUGCUUUAAAAAAAAAAACCUGCUGUUCAUUGUUGUUACUUUUUAGAGAUUCCCAUGGAAGCAGUAAGAGUGUACUUAGUUUUUUACACAUAGCUUCUCAAUUUUGGCUUUAUUUUUGUCAAAUAAAUCAUGAUGCAGUUUAAUAUGCCA